ACCACAAUUUGUGAAUGGAAGAGGAGUGAUUUUGGUUUUGCCCAUAAAAGUUGUAAGAUUUGGACAUCAGCAAAUGACACAGUGAAUGAGCUGAAGAACUGUGCUAGUCUGUACUCAGCUGGGAUGAGAAGUGACUCUCUGGUCCUGAGCCAGCAAAGUAAUCAACGCUGUUUAACCACUUCUAAUUGCACAGGGUCGGUGCUUUAAAGUUUGAAAUAAGGUUGUCAUACUUCAAAGUUAAAGUUAAAUACAGGGGCUGACUGAUGGCAGACUGUGCUCAUUCAAUUCCUGUUCUACACAAUCUAGAGAGCCCCUGCAGGGAACACAAAGAUGACUGGCAAAAAAAAACAGCCAAAGAGGU